UAUGCGGCUCUUCUGAUCUCGGGAGGAGGAGGAGAGCCACACAUUCAUUCCAUAAAUAUUUAU
rfam:Myotis davidii contig92365, whole genome shotgun sequence.